rnacentral:lncRNA from 1 species
GAAAAAAGGUCAAGAGAGGUUUAGCCUCUGCGAAAGGGAAAAACUGCAGAAAAAAAGAAAAGUUAGAACGUGAGGGAGAGAGAGAAAGAGGAGAAAAGUAAAAAGCAAAGGUGAUUUGACCCUCACUAUUCAUCAUCUCCCCAAGCUCGCUGCUCACCCUCUGUUCCGCUCCGCGAAGCCCGACGUCCUCCUCCACCUCGCUGUUCCGUUCGCCGCCGGUCUCGCCGCUCCGUCCGCUCCUCGACGCCUGCGCUUGAGAUCUGCUCGCGACCCAGCACUCGGCGUUCCCUGCUCCUGUCGUGACCGGCGCUAGCUGAGCCUCCCCCGCCACACGUCGCCCGCCGCGCCCACCGUCGGUCCCUGCUUGCGUCUCCACCUCGGCAUCCCCGUAGCCGAAGUCUCCCCCACGGCAACCUAGGUGCCGAUCGCUCCUGACCCGAUUUCGUUUUCAGCCGAGAUCCGACGAAACCGGAGCCCCCCUGCUCCGCUUGCGUUUAUUCUGCCCGAGCGCCCGCUGACGCUGCUGCCGAACCGCGCCGAGACCCGACGCUUAGCCGCCGCCGUGCCGCUGUUCCUGCCGCGACCCAACGCCGCCAGAGCCCACAUCGCUGUUGCUCGCAUCUCCUCGGUGCCCGACAGCAGGCCCCGCAACCCGCGACGCCAGCCCAGCCAUCUGGGACUCCCCUUGCCGACACCGCUCGGAUCCAAACCCCCGCACAGCACCCGCUGUUCGCAAUUGGCAGUGACCCGCGAGUCCCCUUUCCGAACUCCGCCACCUGCUGCCUCCGGAGUUUCUUCCCUGCCAGACCUCUGAUCUGCUGCCCCUCACCGGAGCCGGUGACCAGCCGCACGGACACGAAGUUUGAACGGGAUAAAGGAAAAUAUCAUUUAGGUAAUUCCUUUUUUAUUUACUUUAUUUAUAUAUUUAUUUUUUUGUUAUUCUCACUUAUUUACUUUUUUCCUUUAGUAGGAUUAUUCCUAAAUAUGUUCCAACAUGAAAGUCCCCCUCAAGCAAGGGAUUGAUAGUCCGAUUUUCGCGCCCGAAAUCCGACUCGCAAUCCCUUAUAAAAAUCGACAAUCUAAUCUCAAGCCCGAGAUUCGAUUCGCGAUUUAAUUUAAAAUUGGUCAACCCGAUCUCAUGCGCGAGAUAUGGUUCGCUAAUUUUUAGAUAUCAAUCUUAUCUUGUUUGAUUUGCUAUGGUCAAGUUGGUUGAGUCAAAUCUUAUUUUUGUAAAAUAAAAAUCAAAAAAAUCUUAAUUAGGAUUAAGUUUGCAUAUUUAGGAUUGCAAUCUUAUUAUGAAUUUUUAAAUAAAAAAUCCGAAAAAAGAAAGUGCAAUCAUUUAGGUUGUUAGUUUUUUAUUUGAAUUGCAUGUUUAAUUACGUGUUAGCUUUAAUUUCGAAAUUAAUAAAAAACACCAUAAAAAAUCAUUGUGCAUAUUAGAUUAGAAUUGCAUGCUUCAUUUUAAAUUUAGAUCGUUUUUUUAGAUAAAUGGCAUUUUAGAUUUAGAUAAUGUUUUAGUUUAAAUUAGGAUUUAAUAUGACUUAAUCCCUAGUUUAAAUUAGAUAGAAUCUUAAUCUAGCUAUAGAUCAUUUGAAAUUUAAUAAAAUUUGUCUUAGGAUAAAUUAGAGCAUUCUUUGCACGUCAUUGCAUACUAAGAUUGCAUAUUAUAGGUUUAGAUAAUUUCUCCUAAAUAGAUUGCAUGCUUAUUAGGAAAAUAAAAAUCAUGUGCACGUCAUAUAGAAUUAGUUUCAUACAAUGCACGUCAUUUAGUGAUUUUGUUAGGUGCAUUUAAUUAGAAAUUGCCCGUCAUUAGAAUUAAGUCAUUAGAUUAAUUUAGAUUGCAUAUUCAAAUGUUGCAUUUCUUUAAUUUCGAAUCUCAUAAAAAAUACAAAAAAUGUUAUUUAGAAUAAAUCAUCUCAUGCUUAGAAUAGAUUACAUGUUUGGUUAUGUCAUAUUGCUUAGGUCAUAUAGCUAAGUCAUUUUGCUAUGUCACAUCAUUUCAUGUUAAAUUAGUGGCAUGCAUUGCAUAAAGCAUGAUUCUCAUUAAUUAAGUGAAAACAAAACAAAAAUUGCGUGUUAAUUAGAAACCAUAUCUAGGGUUGUUGAUGUGGAUUUUAAUUUAACAUUGCAGAUGCUUACGUUGCUUUGAGGUAAGUCCUGCAAUUUAUUUUCUGCUUUACUUGAGUGUUAAAUUGGUGGUUUGCGCACCUGCAUGAACACCUCACAUGUUAGGGAAUUAGUUUAAAAUCAAUCCAAACUUCUUGCCAAACAUUUUUUCAAAAUUAAAAGAAUGGUACCGAAAGGGCAUUAGAGAAAUCUAGUGUAACCAAGUCCCCGUACCCAUAAUCUCUGGUUCGUAGGAGUAAAGUAAUUCUCCCAUUAUUUUACUUAGGUGCCUAAUCGACCUACCAAAAAUAGAUUAGUGGCGACUCCUAAUUGUAAAUCAAUUGCAUGUUAUAAACUUAAACCUAAGUCGCGAAUUGGUAUGGGCUUGGGAGAUCCCAAGUUAAGUCUAGGCUUAACAAUCCAUUAGCCAAACCCUAGGUGGUUCACACUUGAAAAAAAUUGGUCGCGACAGCUUGGCGACUCCGCUGGGGACCUAGUGGACUUAGGCCAAUUUUUCUUUUUAAAAAUAUUUUUGUUUGGCAGCAAGGAUCCCAGGUAUGUCCCUAACAUUCCUAAGGUGUUAAAUGUUUUUGCAGAUUGGGAGGUAUAAGGGGAAGUGAUUGCUAACCCUUGCCUUGCAGGUUGGAGUUAGG